rnacentral:lncRNA from 1 species
CAUGAAAAACUUUCUUUCCAUUUGUCCCGGUUAGAAGAUAAUUGUCCUCAAUGCAAAAUUUUGCUACAAACGAAUAUGUGGAAGGAUGAAGAAGACGGAUCAAGAUUAUGUUCUUCAAAGCUUGGAGGAAUAAUUUCUAUCCUUUGAGGUGAGGGAGGAGUAGGCUAAGAUACACUAGCCUUUCCCACCCUUGCUUAGCUUAAACCAACUCCAAUCUUCCUCUUCUUGGCAACACUC